rnacentral:rRNA from 1 species
UUUGGUGGCGAUGGCGGAGGAACCACGUACCCAUCCCGAACACGGCCGUUAAGCCUUCCAGCGCCGAUGGUACUUGGACCGGGUCCCGGGAGAGUAGGACGCCCGCCAAGC